ensembl:lncRNA
CCGGGUCUGUGAACAGUUGGUCUGUCUGAUGCUGACGCCAGCACGGCUCCGUGGAGGGAGCACUAGGAGCUCAGUGCCAGAGCCGCCAACGCCGGAGGCCAGGAGGAAACCAGCUUCACCCAUUUGUCUUCAUGAUUGGCCUUUAUUUCCGGCACAAUCCAUCCAGCAAAAGUCCCAACUAUUAGUUUAUUUCUGGUGUAAAUAGGGUAAUUCAUGAAUUUGCUGCUUUUCUUCCAAUGGUUGCCAGCUGGCAUGGGUUUUUGCUCUGGUUUAUUCACAGCCAGUGGCCAUUCCACUCCACUUUUCUAUCCCCUGGGAGAGGGUGCUGGUGGAGUAAACUGCCCCUCUUCACACCCCACCCCGCCCAUCUCAUCUGAGAUCGGGAAGGCGGGACUUUGACAGCAGGUGACUGUGGCCUCUGGGCCCUGCAGGGCUUCCAGAGGUGCAGCUGUUGCACAGCUGCAGGAAGGGUCCCCUGAGGGAGCAUCUCCAGGGGAGACAGGGGUCAGCCUCCAGGAUGGAUGCCGGGGAGUGCCUGCCAAGAGAAGAGAGGAGUGUCCCAGAGCAACGGACAUCAAAGUUGGCAUCCGCUGGGCGGGGCAGGGCCUGCAGAUUGGCUCAACCUGGAUGCAGGCUGCACUCAGGGCAGGAAAUAAGGGGCAGCCCUGAUCCACGCGCAAUGACCAUGUGGCUGGGAGGCAGGGGACAGGCUGGAGGAGAUGUGGCUGGGAUCCACGCUCACGAUGGACCUGCCGGGUCUCCCACAUCCCAGCAGGUGAGCAACUUCUGUAUGACCGCUUCAUCCUAUCUUUGAAUAAAAUGAUCUGACAUUCCUCCCUAGGGAAGCUGCUGGACAUCCUGCUGCCCCUGAUCGGACAGGCGCCCUGCUGCCUGCUGCCACGGGCUGGCUGGGACUGCCACGUGCUUUGAGCACAUCCUGAUCUACCAGGGUUCCCUCAGACUCCAGUAGAAAGGGAACGGUUGGGAUGAGUCUCCUCUGAGGUGCUCACUGUAGGUGUACAGCUUGUCCUGCUUUCCAGAAACUGGUGGUUGGGCCGACUGACUGUCUUGGGGGCAGGGUCUUCAUGAGCCCCCUGGGGCAGAGUGUGGCUCACAGCCAGCUGCCAUCCUGAGGCCCAUAGACCUGCAACGCUGCACCAGGUCCAUAAGGAGGAGGGCGGUCCCAGCUCCUGGGACCACAGCAGACCCCCACCCCCGCUCCCCACUCUCGUGCUCUCCUCCCUUCUCACGCUUCUCUCUGGCCUCCUCUUUCAGCCCCUCUCUCUUCCAUCCUCCACCCCACCUCUCUCACAUCCUGCACACCCUUUCCUCUGCUUUCUCUGCAGCCGCUCACAGGCUGUGGUGUUAGAGGUACAAGAAGCCCCUAAGCACCAUGUAUUGACUUUCCCACGCUCUCUCCUCCGGAACUUGGACCAGCCCCUCUGCUGGGCACGGCCCUGAGGGCACCGUCCCCCUGCGGUUUGUGUCAUUCGAUGGGGGUGCCUUUCAGGUGUAAAGAGUGCUCUCGGGAGUCACCUCAGUUUCAACGUGGGACUCAAAAGCCUUCAAAGCAAAGAGCCUUUUAGAGGAAGAUGCUGGUCCCUGGAGGAGACCAUGUCCUGGACUGGACUCUGAAGCUGACACGGGAGGAAAACGGGCAGGGAACAACCUUUGGAAGAAUGACACAGCCACAGGACAUGACGGAAAUGGACAGAACCAAUGAGGCCCAAGAUGCUGGAUGAGAAUUCCACUAGACCUUGAGCCUCAGAGUAAGUUCAUCUUAAUAUAUCAGCAAGGGGCGCCAUGACAGUUCC